GCCGGGGUCGCCUAGCCUGGUAGGGCGUCGGAUUGCUAAGCCAGAUUGUUGGUUGCGGAAAUCCGAUGGGCCUUAGGCCCUCGUGGGUUCAAAUCCCACCCCCGGCG
rnacentral:tRNA from 1 species